UACGUAGGGGGCAAGCGUUAUCCGGAUUUACUGGGUGUAAAGGGAGCGUAGACGGUGAGGCAAGUCUGAAGUGAAAUGCCGGGGCUCAACCCCGGAGCUGCUUUGGAAACUGUUUUACUAGAGUGCAGGAGAGGUAAGUGGAAUUCCUAGUGUAGCGGUGAAAUGCGUAGAUAUUAGGAGGAACACCGGAGGCGAAGGCGGCUUACUGGACUGUAACUGACGUUGAGGCUCGAAGGCGUGGGGAG
rnacentral:rRNA from 1 species